rnacentral:lncRNA from 1 species
CACUCUCUUUGAAACUUUAAACCUCAUAUCACAAAUGCACAAUUGAUGUGGUAAUCUUGAUGCCCCCAAAGCUGAGAAAGAAAAUAUGACAAACAUAAAUAUAAUUAGAUGUGAUAUAUAUAUAAAUCAUGAAAUCUAAAAUUAAAAUAAUAUGAAUAGAUCAAAUACAAGUAUGGAUUUUGCGAUUAUCAAUUGUCUAAAAAACCUUUCAUCCUAGGCUUGUUUCAUAUUAUUCAAUAUUUGUAUUUAUAAAUUUGAAAAAAUCAUCUUUAUUCAAUAUAGGCAAAUGAAGAGCCAAGAGUUUUAAUAAACUAAUUAAGAGGUUUUAAAAACAGAUAUACAUCUUUUUAUCUUCUAUUUUCUUUAAUGUCUUAAAAUUUCACAUUUAAUUGGAUAAUGUAUCUAAAUUAAUUUUUUUGGACUUCUUAAAACAAUGAUUUAGUUCGGAAAGGUCUUAAAAUAAUGUUAAUGAUUGACUAUGAUAAAUAAUGUAAUGUGACUGACUUUUCAUAUUUUUUCAGUUUUUUUUUAUAUUCAGCAAGUUUAGAGAUAAUUAAAGUUUAAUAUCUAAUUAACAAUUAUUGAGAUGCUAUAUGAUUUAUUUUAUAUAGGGGUAAAUUGGUAAUCUAACUUUACACUUUAGAGCUUCCCACUUAUAAUAAUAUAUGAUACAGUAAUCAAGGAUUCUUCUAGUAUAAAUUGUACUCUAUAUUUAAAAAGAAAUGAUCUAAUUUAAUUUGCUAUAAAAAUUUAAAAAAUAAAAAUUUUAUUUAGCUAAUUUUAAAGUUACGUACUAUAUAAUAUUUUUUACAAUGGAUUAAUUCAUGGGAUACUAGAUUGAGAAUUGGAGUUCGAUUUGGGGCUCUUUUCUUGGUGGUGAAUUCAACGAUUUGGUUUCAGAAUUGCCCCGUUCAUUGAUUGAUCACUCGAAAGUUAACAUGUACACGAUCGUUGUUCUAACUCUGCAACGUCUUCAUCUUACACUACCAAUACUUUCAAACAGUAUGACCCAUUUAUUCACUAAAUUGAUUCUCAAUUUCUCUUCAUCGUGCGGUAUCAUACAUUUGACGAAGAAGAUCUCUGAUCUGGUCGCUUUGUAAUCAUCCCUAACAUUCACAUUGGAGAAAUUGAUGAUUAUCUCAAAUCUUUCUCUUCUGCUUUUGAAAUUACAAAGUAGGGUGGUUGUGUAAACACAGAUUUUACCUGUCUUGUGAAAAAGAAAGAUUAUAGCACAUUUUUUAAAAGAAGAUGGAAUUGUGUGCCUUUUAUAGAUAUAAAAAUCUCACGCAAUCGGAGUAUGUUCACGAG